rnacentral:lncRNA from 1 species
CCUGGAUCUAAACUUUUGACUGGCCUGAUUUUAGAUUUUGGAUCGGAUUUAGAUCUGACUUUGGAUUAGCCUGAUUUUGACUUCAGAUUAGCUAUGAUUUGGGCUUUAGAUCAGACUUAGAUCUGACUUCGGAUCAACCUGGGUCUGACUUCAUAUCAGCCUUGAUUUUAACUUUGUAUCUGGGCUUCAAAUUGGCUGA